rnacentral:rRNA from 1 species
CUUACCAGGUCCAGACACAGUUAGGAUUGACAGAUUGAGAGCUCUUUCUUGAUUCUGUGGGUGGUGGUGCAUGGCCGUUCUUAGUUGGUGGAGUGAUUUGUCUGGUUAAUUCCGAUAACGAACGAGACCUCAGUUUAUUAAUUAAAUAAAAGAAUAUAAGCGAUAUAAGGGUUAAAGGGAAAGAGAAUUAUAUUUAUAUAGUUUUCCUCUCUUUAAAACUUGUUUAUAUUUAUUUUUAUUUUCUUAAAAAGACACUUGGUGUUUAACCAAGGGAAGUUUGAGGCAAUAACAGGUCUGUGAUGCCCUUUAGAUGUUCUGGGCCGCACGCGCGCUACACUGAUAAAAUCAAUAAGUUUAACUUUAUUGAACCUUAAUAGAAAUAUUUGGGUAAACUUUGAAAAUUUUAUCGUGCUGGGGAUUGACAAUUGUAAUUAUUUGUCAUCAACGAGGAAUUCCUAGUAAACGUAAGUCAUCAGCUUACGUUGAUUACGUCCCUGCCCUUUGUACACACCGCCCGUC